rnacentral:rRNA from 1 species
GCGAGGCCGAAAGGCGUAGUCGAUGGGAAACAGGUUAAUAUUCCUGUACUCGGUGUUACUGCGAAGGGGGGACGGAGAAGGCUAUGUUAGCCGGGCGACGGUUGUCCCGGUUUAAGCAUGUAGGCGGGAAGUUUAGGUAAAUCCGGACUUCUUUUAACGCUGAGGUGUGACGACGAGGCACUACGGUGCUGAAGUAACAAAUGCCCUGCUUCCAGGAAAAGCCUCUAAGCAUCAGGUAACAACGAAUCGUACCCCAAACCGACACAGGUGGUCAGGUAGAGAAUACCAAGGCGCUUGA